ACUACAUGAAGCUGGAAUCGCUAGUAAUCGCGGAUCAGAAUGCCGCGGUGAAUACGUUCCCGGGUCUUGUACACACCGCCCGUCACACCAUGGGAGUCGGAAAUGCCCGAAGUCGGUGACUUAACUGAAAGGAAGGAGCCGCCGAAGGCAGGUCUGGUGACUGGGGUGAAGUCGUAACAAGGUAAC
rnacentral:rRNA from 1 species